rnacentral:lncRNA from 1 species
GAUGGUUUUCCAUUAGCAAGCAAUCCAGUUGAGAGUAUCUCAAGUGGCCAAGUACUUCAGUACGAAAGAUCUGCUCGCUUUGGUGAUAAUGGGUGUAAGUAUGAAGAAUACCAAAGCUAUAUGAAAAUAGAUGGAGGUAAAUCGGAUAAAAUCACAGGCAAAGAUGAGCGCAGGGAAUCAAAUUGGUUUUCGCUUAUUAGUACCCAGGGCUAUGAGCUUUCUUGCUUAGGGAAGGCUGAUGAAGUUUGCAGUAAGAGGAAGAAUAUAUUAGAUCACUCUUAUGGAAGCUUUAAAGGACUUAUAGAGGAUGGACGUGAUUCUAAUGAAAAAAUUCAAGACAAUGCCUGAAAUCCAGCUUAUCUCGAUUGGUACCUUCUGUAAGUUUCAACAAUAAGAUUCUAAGUGCACAGAGUUUGGUUCUGCAGUCCCAGAGAAAGCCAUCAGCCGUUUUCAGACUUUCUUUUAAAAGGAGAUCCUGUGAUGCAGAAGAAACCAUUGAACAAUGUAAGUAUUCAAAUAAUUCAAUUUUCUUUGAAUAGAAAGAAAACUUAGAAUAUUGGGAUUGAUGUACAUGUAUAUUACUGAACAUUUCAAUGAUAUAUCCAGAGGUCAAUCAAAAAGGUUUCUGUAUCAGCCUAGACCAGGAUAUAUCAUUCCAUGUUGUAAAGUAGAGAAGCCGACUUCAGGAUCUUGGUCUGAGAUUCCACCCUCAACUUUUAAAUUCGGUGGCGAGAACUAUUUCAAGUAUGACUUUGGUUUUUUCUUUUGUCAAAACCAACCUUAACUGAAUUUAGACAUUUGCAACUAAUUACUCUGUUCUGCCUUGCUAAUGAUAAUAUUAUUUUCUGUUGGUCUACCAUCCAGAGAUAACGAAAGUCAACUGCUCCGAACUACAGUCCAUAUACUCCAAUAGGUGUUGAUGUGUUUGUAUGCCCCAAAAAGAUACAUCACAUUGCCCAGCAUCUUGAGCUUCCCAAAGUGAAAGCAAAUGGGAAAAUGUUCAUUGUAAACAUACAAGUAUUUUUUCAGAAUUGAUUUAUCUUGUUAUGUUUUGUUUGUUAUAUUUUGGCAAUAUCUAAUGAUAUUGCACUGCACCUUGUUGCAGUUGCCUGCUUAUCCCGCUGCAAUGUUUCUUGGCGAUAGUGAUGGAGAGGGGAUGAGUCUUGUAAUGUAUUUCAAAGUUUCUGAGAUUUUUGAUAAAGACAUCUCUCCUCAAUUCCAGGACAGCAUCAAGGUAACUUCAUUUUGUAAGCAACUUCAUCCAUUUGGAUACGCAUGCCCUUUAUUCUGAUGUACUCUCCCUGAUGGAAAUGUGAUCUUAUGUUCUAUUGGAAUGCUCAGUCUGUUGAUAUAUUUGAAUGAUGCUUUUAGAAAGUGGUUGACGAUGAUUCGCAAAGAACUCCACUGUACCUUUUAGAGAAAGACUGAAGAUCUUGGCUGGGGUGGUAAAUCCUGAGGAUCUUGGUCGGAGU